ensembl:rRNA 5S_rRNA 5S ribosomal RNA
GUCUAUGGCCAUACCACCCUGAAUAUGCCCAAUCUCGUCUGAUCUGGGAAGCUAAGAGAGUCGGACCUGGUUAGUAUUUGGAUGGGAGAAUAUUUGCAGUACUAUUCAAA